ACAUGCAGCUGUCAUAGGUGUUUCCCCCAUACCGUCAGCCUGGGUAACAUCACAUCCUUUGUCGAUAAGUAACUGUACUAUCUUCUCAUUUCCUCCCCAACAAGCAGCUGUCAUAGGUGUUUCCCUCAUACCAUUAGUCUGGGUUACAUAACAUCCUUUGUCUAUAAGUAACUGUACUAUCUUCUCAUUGUCUCCCCAACAAGCAGCUGUCAGAGGUGUUCGUUUUGUACCAACAGUCUGGGUAACAUCACAUCCUUUGUCGAUAAGUAACUGUACUAUCUUCUCAUUUCCUCCCAUACAAGCAGCUGUCAUAGGUGUUUCCCUCAUACCAUUAGUCUGGGUAACAUCACAUCCUUUGUCAAUUAGUAACUGAACUAUCUUAUCAUUUCCUCUCCUACAUGCAGCUGUCAUAGGUGUUUGUUUCAUACCAUCAGCCUGAGUUACAUCACAUCCUUUGUCGAUAAGUAACUGUACUAUCUUCUCAUUUCCUCCCAUACAAGCAGCUGUCAAAGGUGUUUGCUCCAUACCAUUAGUCUGGGUAACAUCACAUCCUUUGUCAAUUAGUAACUGGAAUAUCUUCUCAUUUCCUCCAUAACAUGCAGCUGUCAUAGGUGUUUCCCCCAUACCAUCAGCCUGGUUAACAUCACAUCCUUUGUCUAUAAGUAACUGAACUAUCUUCCCAUUUCUUCCCCAACAAGCAGCUGUCAUAGGUGUUUCCCCCAUACCAACAGCCUGGGUAACAUCACAUCCUUUGUCAAUAAGUAACUGGACUAUCUUCUCAUUUCCUCGCCUACAAGCAGCUGUCAUAGGUGUUUC
rnacentral:lncRNA from 1 species